GACGAACGCUGGCGGCGUGCUUAACACAUGCAAGUCGAACGGAAAGGCCCUACUUUCUUGGGGUGCUCGAUUGGCGAACGGGUGAGUAACACGUGAGUAACCUGCCCUUGACUUUGGGAUGACUUCAGGAAACUGGGCCUACUACCGGAUAGGAGCUCCUGCUGCAUGGUGAGGGUUGGAAAGUUUCGGCGUUUGGGGAUGGACUCGCGGCUUAUCAGCUUGUUGGUGGGGUAGUGGCUUACCCAGGCUUGGACGGGUAGCCGGCCUUGGAGAGUGACCGGCCACAUGGGGCCUGAGAGACGGCCCAGACGCGUACGGGAGGCAGCGGUGGGGAAUAUGGCACAAUGGGCGGAAGCCUGUGGCGACAACGCCGCGUGCGGGAUGACGGCCUGCGGGUUGUAAACCGCUUUCGCCUGUGACGAAGCGUGAGUGACGGUAAUGGGUAAAUAAGCACCGGCUAACUACGUG
rnacentral:rRNA from 1 species